rnacentral:tRNA from 1 species
GGGUCUGUAGCCCAAUUGGCAGAGGCACACGGUUUAGGUCCGUGCCAGUGAGAGUUCGAGUCUCUCCAGACCCACGA